rnacentral:rRNA from 1 species
UAAAAAAUUUGGCGGUAUUUUAGUCUAUUCAGAGGAACCUGUUCUGUAAUCGAUAAUCCACGAUGGACCUUACUUAAGUUUGUAAUCAGUUUAUAUACCGUCGUUAUUAGAAUAUUUUAUAAGAAUGUUAAUUUUCAUAAUUUUUUAAAAGAAAAUAUAUCAGAUCAAGGUGUAGCUAAUAUUUAAGUAGAAAUGGGUUACAAUAAAUUUAUUUAAACGGAUAUAAAUUUGAAAUAUUUAUUGAAGGUGGAUUUGAUAGUAAAAUUAUAAAGAUUAAUAAUUUGAUUUUAGCUCUAAAAUAUGCACACAUCGCCCGUCACUCUUACUACUAAGGUAAGAUAAGUCGUAACAUAGUAGAUGUACUGGAAAGUGUACCUAGAAUGCAAUUUAAAGCUUAUUAAGUAAAGUAUUUCAUUUACAUUGAAAAGAUUUUUGUGCAAAUCAAUAUAAAUUGAAUAGAUUUUAUUUAUUAAUAUUUUUUUUAAAAAAUUUAAUUUAUUAAAAAUAAUUAUAUAAAGAAUUGUUUUAGUAUUUUUUAAAGAAAAAAUAAUAUUAAUUAUAGUGUAAUAGUAUUGUGAAAGAAAAUUGAAAUAAUUUGAAAAAUUUUUAUUU